rnacentral:rRNA from 1 species
UACGUAGGGUGCGAGCGUGUCCGGAAUUAUUGGGCGUAAAGGGCUCGUAGGCGGUCUGUCACGUCGGGAGUGAAAACACGGGGCUUAACCCCGUGCCUGCUUCCGAUACGGGCAGACUAGAGGUAUGCAGGGGAGAACGGAAUUCCUGGUGUAGCGGUGAAAUGCGCAGAUAUCAGGAGGAACACCGGUGGCGAAGGCGGGUCUCUGGGCAACACUGACGCUGAGGAGCGAAAGCGUGGGGAGCGAACAGGAUAGAUACCCCAG